rnacentral:snRNA from 1 species
GUGCUCACUUCGGCAGCACAUGUACUAAAAUUGGAAUGAUACAGAGAAGAUUAGCACAGCCCCUGCACAAGGAUGACACGCAAAUUUGUGAAGCGUUCCAUAUUUUA